CAUCAGCAAAAAUCUCUAAUGACGCGUACCAUUCGUUGAGAGAUCGCGUUAUUAUUAAGAGUGAGUAGUUUAGUGAAUUUUCCAAAAAUAUGACUUUGCUGCGAUAAAGGAAAUAUUUUGAAACUGAAAGAAGUUUAUAGAUACGUGAGGAGACUCCAACUGAGGAAACCUAUAUUCAACCUGCCAUCAGCCUUUCGUAUUGAUUUGAAGAGCAGCGGAGCACGAACGAGGUAUUCCGAGUUUGGCAAUCAUGUUCAACGUUGCGACCGCCAUCUUCUUCGGGAACACUACGCGAUAUUGCAGUGACGUUCGGCGUUCCUCUCAAGCGCGAGCUCUCUAAACUUUGGUCGAAUCGAGGAGAUGGCAAAGGAGGAUAAGAGGAGGGAGACGGGAAAGGGGGGGCGCGGCCGCAGAGAAACGGGAAAGGCGAUGCUGGAAAUGGGAGAAUGGCUGAAUAUUCCUCGAGGACGAGCACUCCGUCGGUGUAGAGCGGCAACGGCCGGAGUCUAGGCGUAGCCGAUCCAGAAACCAGAAACCAGAAACCAGGCACAACGACUGGAGAACAGAGGAGGCCCGGAUAAUAGCGACGGGAGGAACCGGAAAGCAUAAACCCACGCAAAAGUGGAGGCCACUUCAAGCGUUUUCUGCGGCGGUCGCCGUGCGCGACCCUUCCGAAAAUUAUCCAGAACGACCUCGUAGCCGCCGCGGCCUUACCACUGAAGAAAUAACCGCUGACUCGAAAAAAAAAAAAAAAAAUGUUUUUGCAACAAUGAAAUGUGGACGGAGCAAAAGUAUACUUUCGCUGGUAAACCGUGAAAAUGGACUUGCAGGAUUAAAUUGCCUUUUUUGUAAAAGAGAACAUACGCGCAUCUUUCGACGACAUUUAUCGGUAGAAUGAGAUGGCAGCGCGUCAUGAUAAAUAAGAUCUAUAAUUCGAGGAUCAGAUAAAAA
rnacentral:lncRNA from 13 species